UAUAAAUUAGUGUAUGAGCACAAAAAAUUUUGAUUUUUUUAGAUUUAGUUUAAUUCUAAAAUUUAUAA
rnacentral:tRNA from 1 species